rnacentral:rRNA from 1 species
GACGAACGCUGGCGGCGUGCUUAACACAUGCAAGUCGAACGGAAAGGCCCUGCUUUUGUGGGGUGCUCGAGUGGCGAACGGGUGAGUAACACGUGAGUAACCUGCCCUUGACUUUGGGAUAACUUCAGGAAACUGGGGCUAAUACCGGAUAGGAGCUCCUGCUGCAUGGUGGGGGUUGGAAAGUUUCGGCGGUUGGGGAUGGACUCGCGGCUUAUCAGCUUGUUGGUGGGGUAGUGGCUUACCAAGGCUUUGACGGGUAGCCGGCCUGAGAGGGUGACCGGCACCAUGGGGACUGGGAUACGGCCCAGCCUCCUCCGGGAGGCAGAAGUGGGGAAUAUUGAACAAUGGGCGGAAGCCUAAUGCAGAAACGCCGCGUGCGGGAUGACGGCCUUCGGGUUGUAAACCGCUUUCGCCUGUGACGAAGCGUGAGUGACGGUAAUGGGUAAAGAAGCACCGGCUAACUACGUG